rnacentral:rRNA from 1 species
UACGGAGAGUGCAAGCGUUGUUCGGAAUCAUUGGGCGUAAAGGGCGUGUAGGCGGCCUGUUAAGUCUGGUGUGAAAGCCCUCGGCUCAACCGAGGAAGUGCACUGGAUACUGGCGGGCUUGAGUAUGGGAGAGGGAGGCGGAAUUCCCGGUGUAGAGGUGAAAUUCGUAGAUAUCGGGAGGAACACCCGUGGCGAAGGCGGCUUCCUGGCCCAAUACUGACGCUGAGGCGCGAAAGCGUGGGGAGCAAACAGG